AUUGUAUCCUAUUUCAGCCAUGUGGAUUGUUGACUAGUCACAAGUAAGGUCAGUGAUAUUUAGCAAGUGGAGCAUGACAGAUUGAACUAUAUUUUACUACAGGUAGUGGAACAGGUUAUAUACCUGAAGUAUCAAGCACUGGAAACAUGUGCUCAGUGGAAAUUCAUUGACAAACAAACAAAAGACAGCAGCGGGUUUUUGUGUGUUGUUGUUAUCUCAGUGACUGUGAAUACUGUGCUCAAUAUAACAGGGGAAAUUUAUAGCACCACGUGGACGGGGAAAGGUAUUUGUUGUCAUUCAUAGAAUUCGUUUGUGGAGAAGGCAUGGGGAACUCUCAGUCUAUCGAUCUGAUUGUGGAUCCUGCUAAUCAGAGUGAAAUAACUGAUAAAAAUGAAAGAUCACGAAUGUCAAAGCUCUGUAAAAAUGGAAAGUACCUCUGUGAAUAUGAGGAUGGUGAAGUGAAGACUCUGUACGAUGCUUUCAAAAGGGGAGCAAGAGUAUCAAAUAAUGGAGAGGCCUACGGAUGGAAACCCAGCCCCUCAGAACCAUUCCAGUGGAUCUCCUACAAUGAUCUGAGAUUAAGACUGUGGUCUGUGAUAAGAAUGUGAAGGUCAAGGCCAUACUGAAUCGAAUCAAGGAGACUCCCGACCUAGAGAGCAUAAUCCUGGUGGAGGAACCUUCCGAGGAGAUGAAGGAGCUGGUACAAAAACACAACAUUGACCUCACAUCCUUUGCCGAGUUAGAGGCACUUGGUGAGAAGAAUCCACAAGAACCAAAACCUGCCAAGCCAGAUGAUUUGUGUGUUCUGUGCUACACCAGUGGGACCACAGGUUUACCAAAAGGUGCCAUGUUGACACACAGAGGAACAAUGGCUACUGUUGUGGCAGCUGGGGCUGUGCUGAAACCUGGUGGCAUAGACAUCUCUCCAGAAGACACACUUAUAUCAUAUCUUCCACUCGCUCAUUCAUACGAAAGGUUACUCGAGUGCUACUGUGUGUUGAACGGAGCCAGAAUUGGGUUUUUCCAAGGAGACGUGAAGUUAUUGUUGGAUGAUAUUAAGGAGUUACAGCCCACCCUCUUCCCUUCUGUACCAAGGUUACUCAACAGAAUCUAUGACAAGGUUAUGAGUCAAAUAAAUUCAGGAUCAGGAAUAAAAAAGAAGCUGUUUAAUAUGGCUUUAGCCAGCAAGGAAAAUGAACUGAAAAAGAGUAUAAUUAGAAAUGAUAGCCUAUGGGACAAAAUUGUAUUCAAGAAGAUUCAGGCCAGCCUCGGGGGAAAAGUGAAGCUCAUCACAACAGGAUCUGCUCCUCUGUCCCCCAAAGUACUUCAUUUCUUGAGGUGCUGCGCAGGAUGUCCUGUUGUGGAGGGAUAUGGACAGACUGAAUGCCACGCUGUCUGCUCCGUGACUUUAGUUGGAGAUCCUGAUACAGGAAAUGUUGGCCCACCACUGCCAUGUUGUGAGAUCAAACUGGCUGAUGUGGAGGAGAUGAAUUACUAUGCAAAAGACAACAAAGGGGAGGUGUGUAUCAAAGGACCCAAUGUGUUCCUGGGUUACUACAGAGACCAAGCGAAGACGGAGGAGGCUCUGGAUAAAGACGGAUGGCUCCACACUGGAGACAUCGGACAGUGGCUGGAGAAUGGUACUUUGAAGAUCAUUGACAGAAAGAAGAAUAUUUUCAAAUUAGCACAGGGUGAAUACAUUGCUCCUGAGAAGAUUGAAAAUGUCUACGUGAGAAGCCCAUUAGUGGCACAAGUCUUCAUUCACGGAGAAAGCUUGAAAUCAAGUUUGGUGGGUGUGGUGGUACCUGAUCCUGAAGUGUUACCUGGCUGGGCUAAGACAAACCUCCAUGUGACGCAGACAAUGGAAGAAUUGUGUGCAAACCCAGAUGUUAAGAAGCAAAUAAUGACAGAUUUAACCAACAUUGGAAAAACUGGAGGACUCCAUUCAUUUGAACAGGUUAAAGACAUAUUCCUAUAUCCGGAACAGUUUUCUGUGGAAAAUGGACUUCUAACGCCAACAUUCAAAGCUAAAAGACAUGAAUUGAAACUAAAAUUCAAAUCAGAAAUUGAUGAGAUGUACAAAAAUCUAGUGUAAAAGAAUGAUUAUCUUAGAAUCUGUACAAAAUAUUAUAGAGUGGAGAUUUAAUUGCAUGGCAAGGUUUGCUUACCUUACUCGGGUCAUCUGCCAGAUAUAAAACAGUGCUAGCCUACAGUGCAUGUAGUCAGUGAUGUAUAUCUGAAUCUCUCGAAUUGUAUAAAGCAAAUGUACAUGAAACAUAUCUAAAAAAUAUUUUGAAGGUAAAAAAAUAUUGUAUUGGUAAUAUCUAAUUUUUUUUCUCAUUGUUCAAUGGAUUUUUGAGUGGUUUCUGAAAUUUUGUGCAGAGAGAAAUUUGAAGAGAUUUUUUUUUCAAUGAUAAGUUUAUGAGUCUAUGCAGGAUUCGGAUUGACAAUGAAAGGAACCAAGUGUAUAAUAUUGUACAUACACAGUAAGGUUGUGUGAUAUCAUCAUUUCACAAAUUCUUCAUACACAUUGCACAAGCUGAUGAAUUGUAAAAUUUUUACAUAGGUGCAUAUGUACAUAUACAUGUACAUUGUACAUGCAUAAUACAUUUCAUUUUGCAAAGAACAUUGUUAAGCAGUAAAAAUGUCUAAUUUGUACUGUUGAGAAGAUGGAAAAUUAGAAAUGUUGAAUUUUUCAACUGUCAAUAGAAAUGAUUAGAUCUGUGUUGUAUGCAUGUUCUUUGGUUACUUUUUGAUAGAAAUUUUAGCUAAAAGGUUUUUUUUUCUUGAAAUAGCUAGAUUUUUGGAACAAAUUUUGACACAUGUAUUGACUCACCGUGAUGCACUAUCUGUGAUUAAGAAUUAAGGUCAUUUGAUCUCCAUUGAUUUUAAUACCCAGUUUGUAAAUAUUUGAAAAAAACAAAAUGGAGACUCCUGGCAGUCAACAUACCAGUGAAACAUUUUGUACAUAAGUAUCUUUUCAUACACUUCAAAGUCAUGCUUCGUUGCAGUGCUAUAUGGUGUUAGUGCUAACUUUACCACAUUCUGCAUAGACCAGUCAUUUUUUUCUCGUGAAAACAUUUCAACCUCAAGAUCCCAAAAAGGGACCUACAGUAUGUACCGGUACAUUUAUAUUGAAAGUAAAACAAUAUGAAAGAUUGAAAAUUUGCAUGAUUUAUUUUUAACCACACAAUGCACAAAAGAGAAGAAAUUCAGGCACAUACAUAUGAGGUAUUAUUUUUCACGAUAAUCCUGUAUAAAAUACUGUUACCGUAGAAUAUUUCUAUGCUGAGUGGAAUUGCAUAAUUAAAACACUAUAACUUUC
rnacentral:misc_RNA from 1 species